UACGUAGGGGGCAAGCGUUGUCCGGAAUUAUUGGGCGUAAAGCGCGCGCAGGCGGUCCUUUAAGUCUGAUGUGAAAGCCCACGGCUCAACCGUGGAGGGUCAUUGGAAACUGGAGGACUUGAGUACAGAAGAGGAAAGCGGAAUUCCACGUGUAGCGGUGAAAUGCGUAGAGAUGUGGAGGAACACCAGUGGCGAAGGCAGCUCGCUGGGACGGUACUGACGCUGAGACGCGAAAGCGUGGGGAGCAAACAGG
rnacentral:rRNA from 1 species